rnacentral:rRNA from 1 species
CUGCACUUCGGGAUAAGCCUGGGAAACCGGGUCUAAUACCGGAUAUGAGCUCCUGCCGCAUGGUGGGGGUUGGAAAGUUUUUCGGUGCAGGAUGAGUCCGCGGCCUAUCAGCUUGUUGGUGGGGUAAUGGCCUACCAAGGCGACGACGGGUAGCCGGCCUGAGAGGGUGAUCGGCCACACUGGGACUGAGACACGGCCCAGACUCCUACGGGAGGCAGCAGUGGGGAAUAUUGCACAAUGGGCGAAAGCCUGAUGCAGCGACGCCGCGUGGGGGAUGACGGUCUUCGGAUUGUAAACUCCUUUCAGUAGGGACGAAGCGAAAGUGACGGUACCUGCAGAAGAAGCACCGGCCAACUACGUGCCAGCAGCCGCGGUAAUACGUAGGGUGCAAGCGUUGUCCGGAAUUACUGGGCGUAAAGAGCUCGUAGGCGGUUUGUCACGUCGUCUGUGAAAUCCUCCAGCUCAACUGGGGGCGUGCAGGCGAUACGGGCAGACUUGAGUACUACAGGGGAGACUGGAAUUCCUGGUGUAGCGGUGAAAUGCGCAGAUAUCAGGAGGAACACCGGUGGCGAAGGCGGGUCUCUGGGUAGUAACUGACGCUGAGGAGCGAAAGCAUGGGGAGCAAACAGGAUUAGAUACCCUGGUAGUCCAUGCCGUAAACGGUGGGCGCUAGGUGUGGGGUCCUUCCACGGAUUCCGUG